UACAUUUAGCAUCUACUUAUAGCCUUAUGCUGACACAAAGGUACAACAUGCUGUAUCGAAUUAGCAUGAAAUUGCAGCUUAGAGAAGUUGUGCUCGCAGCUAAGUAGUAGAUCUCUAAGAGAAAGAAAUCACAAAUUACAUCUGUAAAAGUUUCUUCCUGUGUUCUGGGACUGCUUAAAGCGUGGAUGCGCACAAUUAAAAGAAGUUGUUUUUGCAAGAUGGACAAAAGGUUUUUUCUUUUUAAAGAAAUCCUUUAGAGAGUGGUGAAUUUAAAAAGCAAGACUCCUUUGAGAGAGAAAAGUGGGUGUGUGUCGGGGGAAGGCGCUCUCUUUGGGAGACGGACCAAUCUGAAAAAACGACUUUUGCUGAAAGAGACACUGAAGAGAAAGAGAGAACUUAGAAUGGAGAGGACACAAAGUAUGUUGAAAAGCUGGAGACAGUGUGACUGUAUUUGGCCAUCUUCAGACAGUUAGCAGGAGGACUCCUCCUGACCGACUCUGCGUGGAUUGACACCGCCUUUUGUGUCGCUGUGAAGCAUUGUGGGAGUGUGGACAACUUGGGACUCUACUCACGUUCUCAGAGCCACUACAGAGGGAUCUGACUGACUGCCAGACACGCACGCACACAUUCACGCACGCACAGAGACAGGUUAGUCCUGACUUGUGUUGGAUGCUGGAUUGGCCCUGCCAUUGUGUGGUGGGGGAAACCAUGUGGGACUGCAAAAGACUUGGAACGCAGCUCUCACAUGCAACAUGCACACUAAUCCAGAGCAGCAGAAAUGAUGGCGUGAGUGUUUAUACAGGUGCCAGACAGCAAAUGAACAGCAUUAAUUUUAGAGGAAUUAAGAGGCAGCCGCUGAGGCACUGGGAACCAUUACAGCCGGCUCCCAGAACAAGUCUUCCAGAACAUUAUAGCCAGUCAGAGCCGAUGUAAUCACCUCCGCCACUUGAAUCAUGGCCAAGCUGAUGACAAUUGGUAUGUCUCGUCAGUGUUAAAUACACAACCCCAACAGGCCAUCAUGCAUACAAAGCUGAUGAUUCAUCUCAAGUAGGAACAUGGCCUGUUUUCUCUCUCUCUAAGGUGUGUUUUGACGGAAGCCCCCGUCUCUAAUAAACACUUUUAAAAAAUAAAACUUUUAACCAACAGAA